UACGGAGGGGGCUAGCGUUGUUCGGAAUUACUGGGCGUAAAGCGCGCGUAGGCGGCUUUGUAAGUUAGAGGUGAAAGCCCGGAGCUCAACUCCGGAAUUGCCUUUAAGACUGCAUCGCUAGAAUCAUGGAGAGGUGAGUGGAAUUCCGAGUGUAGAGGUGAAAUUCGUAGAUAUUCGGAAGAACACCAGUGGCGAAGGCGACUCACUGGACAUGUAUUGACGCUGAGGUGCGAAAGCGUGGGGAGCAAACAGGG
rnacentral:rRNA from 1 species